GAUGAACGCUGGCGGCGUGCCUAAUACAUGCAAGUCGAGCGAACAGACGAGGAGCUUGCUCCUUCGACGUUAGCGGCGGACGGGUGAGUAACACGUAGGUAACCUACCUAUAAGACUGGGAUAACUUCGGGAAACCGGAGCUAAUACCGGAUAAUAUUUCGAACCGCGUGGUUCGAUAGUGAAAGAUGGCUUUGCUAUCACUUAUAGAUGGACCUGCGCCGUAUUAGCUAGUUGGUAAGGUAACGGCUUACCAAGGCAACGAUACGUAGCCGACCUGAGAGGGUGAUCGGCCACACUGGAACUGAGACACGGUCCAGACUCCUACGGGAGGCAGCAGUAGGGAAUCUUCCGCAAAGGGCGAAAGCCUGACGGAGCAACGCCGCGUGAGUGAUGAAGGUCUUCGGAUCGUAAAACUCUGUUAUUAGGGAAGAACAAACGUGUAAGUAACUGUGCACGUCUUGACGGUACCUAAUCAGAAAGCCACGGCUAACUACGUG
rnacentral:rRNA from 1 species